rnacentral:rRNA from 1 species
GAUGAACGCUGGCGGCGUGCCUAAUACAUGCAAGUCGAGCGAAGCGGGGACGGGUGAGUAACACGUGGGUAACCUCAUAUAAGACUGGGAUAACGUCGGGAAACCGGAACUAAACCGGAAACUUACAGAAGGAUCUACGCUGCAUUAGAUAGUUGGUAAGGUAACUGCUGACCACGGCCACGAUGCAUAGCCGACCUGAGAGGGUGAUCGGCCAAACUGUAACUUAGACUCGGUCCAGACUCCUACGGGAGGCAGCAGUAGGGAAUCUUCCGCAAUGGGCGAAAGCCUGACGUAGCAACGCCGCGGGAGUGAUGAAGGUCUUCGGAUCGUAAAACUCUGUUAUUAGGGAAGCGGUACCUAAUCAGAAAGCCACGGCUAACUACGUGCCAGCAGCCGCGGUAAUAC